AGAGUUUGAUCCUGGCUCAGAUUGAACGCUGGCGGAAUGCUUUACACAUGCAAGUCGAACGGUAGAGGGGGCAACCCCUUGAGAGUGGCGAACGGGUGAGUAAUAUAUCGGAACGUGCCCAGUCGUGGGGGAUAACGUAGCGAAAGUUACGCUAAUACCGCAUACGAUCUAAGGAUGAAAGCGGGGGACUCGCAAGAGCCUCGCGCGAUUGGAGCGGCCGAUAUCAGAUUAGGUAGUUGGUGGGGUAAAGGCUCACCAAGCCGACGAUCUGUAGCUGGUCUGAGAGGACGACCAGCCACACUGGAACUGAGACACGGUCCAGACUCCUACGGGAGGCAGCAGUGGGGAAUUUUGGACAAUGGACGCAAGUCUGAUCCAGCCAUUCCGCGUGCAGGAUGAAGGCCCUCGGGUUGUAAACUGCUUUUGUACGGAACGAAAAGGUUUCUAUUAAUACUAGGAGCUCAUGACGGUACCGUAAGAAUAG
rnacentral:rRNA from 1 species